UCUAGCCGAUUCUUCUGCAUU
rnacentral:piRNA from 1 species